GGUUAAGCGACUAAGCGUACACGGUGGAUGCCCUGGCAGUCAGAGGCGAUGAAGGGCGUGCUAAUCUGCGAUAAGCGCCGGUAAGGUGAUAUGAACCGUUAUAACCGGCGAUACCCGAAUGGGGAAACCCAGUGUGAUUCGUCACACUAUCAUUAACUGAAUCCAUAGGUUAAUGAGGCGAACCGGGGGAACUGAAACAUCUAAGUACCCCGAGGAAAAGAAAUCAACCGAGAUUCCCCCAGUAGCGGCGAGCGAACGGGGAGGAGCCCAGAGCCUGAAUCAGCAUGUGUGUUAGUGGAAGCGUCUGGAAAGGCGCGCGAUACAGGGUGACAGCCCCGUACACAAAAGCGCAUGUGCUGUGAGCUCGAUGAGUAGGGCGGGACACGUGGUAUCCUGUCUGAAUAUGGGGGGACCAUCCUCCAAGGCUAAAUACUCCUGACUGACCGAUAGUGAACCAGUACCGUGAGGGAAAGGCGAAAAGAACCCCGGCGAGGGGAGUGAAAAAGAACCUGAAACCGUGUACGUACAAGCAGUGGGAGCACAGGUUUACCUGUGUGACUGCGUACCUUUUGUAUAAUGGGUCAGCGACUUAUAUUCUGUAGCAAGGUUAACCGAAUAGGGGAGCCGCAGGGAAACCGAGUCUUAAUUGGGCGUUAAGUUGCAGGGUAUAGACCCGAAACCCGGUGAUCUAGCCAUGGGCAGGUUGAAGGUUGGGUAACACUAACUGGAGGACCGAACCGACUAAUGUUGAAAAAUUAGCGGAUGACCUGUGGCUGGGGGUGAAAGGCCAAUCAAACCGGGAGAUAGCUGGUUCUCCCCGAAAGCUAUUUAGGUAGCGCCUCGUGAAUUCAUCUCCGGGGGUAGAGCACUGUUUCGGCUAGGGGGCCAUCCCGGCUUACCAACCCGAUGCAAACUGCGAAUACCGGAGAAUGUUAUCACGGGAGACACACGGCGGGUGCUAACGUCCGUCGUGAAGAGGGAAACAACCCAGACCGCCAGCUAAGGUCCCAAAGUCAUGGUUAAGUGGGAAACGAUGUGGGAAGGCCCAGACAGCCAGGAUGUUGGCUUAGAAGCAGCCAUCAUUUAAAGAAAGCGUAAUAGCUCACUGGUCGAGUCGGCCUGCGCGGAAGAUGUAACGGGGCUAAACCAUGCACCGAAGCUGCGGCAGCGACGCUGAUGCGUUGUUGGGUAGGGGAGCGUUCUGUAAGCCUGUGAAGGUGUGUCGUGAGGCAUGCUGGAGGUAUCAGAAGUGCGAAUGCUGACAUAAGUAACGAUAAAGCGGGUGAAAAGCCCGCUCGCCGGAAGACCAAGGGUUCCUGUCCAACGUUAAUCGGGGCAGGGUGAGUCGACCCCUAAGGCGAGGCCGAAAGGCGUAGUCGAUGGGAAACGGGUUAAUAUUCCCGUACUUGGUGUUACUGCGAAGGGGGGACGGAGAAGGCUAUGUUGGCCGGGCGACGGUUGUCCCGGUUUAAGCGUGUAGGUGUGUGUUCCAGGUAAAUCCGGUUCACUUUAACACUGAGGCGUGAUGACGAGGCACUACGGUGCUGAAGCAACAAAUGCCCUGCUUCCAGGAAAAGCCUCUAAGCAUCAGGUAACAUCAAAUCGUACCCCAAACCGACACAGGUGGUCAGGUAGAGAAUACCAAGGCGCUUGAGAGAACUCGGGUGAAGGAACUAGGCAAAAUGGUGCCGUAACUUCGGGAGAAGGCACGCUGACACGUAGGUGAAGUGAUUUACUCACGGAGCUGAAGUCAGUCGAAGAUACCAGCUGGCUGCAACUGUUUAUUAAAAACACAGCACUGUGCAAACACGAAAGUGGACGUAUACGGUGUGACGCCUGCCCGGUGCCGGAAGGUUAAUUGAUGGGGUCAGCGCAAGCGAAGCUCCUGAUCGAAGCCCCGGUAAACGGCGGCCGUAACUAUAACGGUCCUAAGGUAGCGAAAUUCCUUGUCGGGUAAGUUCCGACCUGCACGAAUGGCGUAAUGAUGGCCAGGCUGUCUCCACCCGAGACUCAGUGAAAUUGAACUCGCUGUGAAGAUGCAGUGUACCCGCGGCAAGACGGAAAGACCCCGUGAACCUUUACUAUAGCUUGACACUGAACAUUGAGCCUUGAUGUGUAGGAUAGGUGGGAGGCUUUGAAGUGUGGACGCCAGUCUGCAUGGAGCCGACCUUGAAAUACCACCCUUUAAUGUUUGAUGUUCUAACGUGGACCCGUAAUCCGGGUUGCGGACAGUGUCUGGUGGGUAGUUUGACUGGGGCGGUCUCCUCCUAAAGAGUAACGGAGGAGCACGAAGGUUGGCUAAUCCUGGUCGGACAUCAGGAGGUUAGUGCAAUGGCAUAAGCCAGCUUGACUGCGAGCGUGACGGCGCGAGCAGGUGCGAAAGCAGGUCAUAGUGAUCCGGUGGUUCUGAAUGGAAGGGCCAUCGCUCAACGGAUAAAAGGUACUCCGGGGAUAACAGGCUGAUACCGCCCAAGAGUUCAUAUCGACGGCGGUGUUUGGCACCUCGAUGUCGGCUCAUCACAUCCUGGGGCUGAAGUAGGUCCCAAGGGUAUGGCUGUUCGCCAUUUAAAGUGGUACGCGAGCUGGGUUUAGAACGUCGUGAGACAGUUCGGUCCCUAUCUGCCGUGGGCGCUGGAGAACUGAGGGGGGCUGCUCCUAGUACGAGAGGACCGGAGUGGACGCAUCACUGGUGUUCGGGUUGUCAUGCCAAUGGCAUUGCCCGGUAGCUAAAUGCGGAAGAGAUAAGUGCUGAAAGCAUCUAAGCACGAAACUUGCCCCGAGAUGAGUUCUCCCUGAGACUUUAAGUCUCCUGAAGGAACGUUGAAGACGACGACGUUGAUAGGCCGGGUGUGUAAGCGCAGCGAUGCGUUGAGCUAACCGGUACUAAUGAACCGUGAGGCUUAACCUU
rnacentral:rRNA from 2 species